UAUAGAUUCAACCUCUUUUUUUUUGUCUUAGAUAUGCUACUGUCCCCAUUACCAUAGCUGGAGAACGUGAGGUCACACAGUCAUCUCUCCAUCCCCAGCUCAAGGCCAUGUGGUCACUUUAUGUCUUUCUCGUUUGUGAGUGGCUUCAGUGUACUUUAUGGCACCCUGGACUAUUGGUUCUUCCUUUGCUUAAAUUAGUUUGGUUUAGGUUUCCUUCACUUAUGAUCAGUCCUGACUAAUUCAAAUUGGUUCUAGAACUGGGGUUUUACAUUUGAUCUACCAUUUCCCUUAGUCUGUCUCCAGUACCUUCAACUCUUUUGACCCUUGUUCUAUUAAAGCCAGUUAACCUAAGCCCUGGAUCAAGCCACAGCUAUUCCUGGGCCACUGAAGGGGCUUCUGGAGAAAAAACACAGAGCCACACCUGCUGGCCAAAGCAAAACAAAAGGAAGCAAAUGAAACAAAACAUCAUGGCACUGCCUACAGGAUCUUCUGUGGAUGUGAUGUGUCCAAAUCAGAACUCUUUAUUCUGCUGCUUCCCAGAUUUCAGCUGCCUCUGGUCUUCUCCACUUGAGAACCAUUUGUGGAACCACCAUGUGGCUCUUUGCAAACACCUUGAGUCAUUGUUGACUCAUCCUGUUUUUCUUUCAUACCACAUCUGAUUGUUAGAUUUACAAUUAUUGAAUCUUGUUCUUUCAUACCACAUCUGAUGGUUAGAUUUACCAUCACUGAAUCUUGUUGGCUAUCCUUACAAAACAUCCUGAAUCUGCUCUUCCAACUGCUUGCAUGUGUGCUCUAGAUAGCUGCAGUAGCCUCUUAUGUGAUGUCCCUUCUUCCACAUCUACCUUGUUAGCCUGUGUGAGCCUUUUAAAAUACCAGUUCAGCCUUGUUGUCUCCCUGGUUUCCACCAACAUCCAUCACACCAGGACGAAGUGAUCUCCAACACCCUACCUAUGUGAUCUAUCCCCUGCCUGUCACCUCCUGCCCCUCUCCUUCCAUUGGCCCUAGCUGUUCUCCUUGUCUGGAAUAUUUCCCUUCGGAAAUUUGCAAGGCUUCUUCCUCUCUGUCUUCAGAUCUCUAUUCAGACGUCACUUCUCUGGGAAGCCUGCCCUGAGCAUCCUGUUUUCACAGCCUCCCCCUUCUCUGUCCUCUCCCCAUGACUGUUUCCUUUUCCCUGAUGUUAUUUUUUUUGUGUGUGUGUAUGUGUUUACCUAUUCAUUUGCUUAUCCCUCUUCUCACUAUAAUAUAAAAUUUCAUGUUACCCAUUAUAAGUAAGUUUGUUUCAUGUUCACUGCUGCCUAUGAAGUAUGUCCAAAAUAGUGCCUGGCAUAAUAGUAGGCUAUCAAUAAAUAUUUGCAAAAUGAAUGAACAAGGAACUGAAAAUACCAAGCUAAAUGGUGCCACCACAGAGACCCACCUCCAGUGCUGGUGACAGUCCUGGCUUUCCCUUGUCAGCGCUCUCCUCUCAAAAUGCUCAUACUCCCCUCUCCCCACAACUUCACCCUUAUCACUGUCACCAGGCAGUGUGGCCUCCUGCUUCAUAGACAAAGUAGACCCCUUAGAGGUCAUGUCCUCACCCAGUCAACAAGUUCUCCAGCUUCACACCUGUCCUGCGGGACCUCCCUCCUGACACAAUGGGAGAUGAGGCUCUGCCUCUUAAGACCAGGGUGACCCUUCACCUGUGCAUUCCUUGUUCCAAAUAUAGAGGCCUUGCUUCUUCCACCUCACUCUCCCCAUCUCUCCACUCCAUCCUUCCCUUCCCAUCCGUAUUUCUGCAUGUCUGUCCCCCUGCCCUCCCUUUCUUUGCCUCCCUGGAUAGUUAAGCUUCACAGCAGCAUUUUCUACAUUUGCUUUUUCUGCAUUCUCACUGUCCUCACCCUAGCAGUUGUUGGGAGGGAUUCUCAUAUUUCACAGAGAGACACAAAAAAAGGCCAGACUGACCCCCCCCCCCUUUCUCAAUGGCUAAGAGGUGAGGAAUAAUCCAGUUCUUGGAUCUCUAGAAGCAAAUGCUCUAUUGGGACUAUAACCCACAUCCUCUGGCGCCAUCUGCUGGCCAUAUCAGAACAAAACCUUGCUGCGCUGAGAAUGGGGUCUGGAUUCUUUGAGCUUUUCAAAAUCCAAACAAAUGAACCAACACAAACAAUCUUAACUAUAAAAGGAGGCCUUAUUAUUCCCUAAAGUAAUUUCUUUUGUUCGUUUGUUCAUUCAUUUUUUUUUUGUUUGUCCAUCAAAUGUUAAUGACUUACUUUUGUAUGCCAGGUGCUGCGAGGAGAAACUUCAUGUGUCUUGGUGGUGGUGGUGGGGGGUACAGUACCAGGGAUUAUACUUAGAGGCACUCAAUCACUGAGCCACAUCCCCAGCCCUAUUUUGUAUUUUAUUUAAAGACAGGGUCUCAUAGUUGCUUAGCACCUCGCCAUUGCUGAGGCUGGCUUUGAACUUGCAAUCCUCCUGUCUUAGCUCCUGAACUGCUGGGAUUAUAGGCAUGUACUGUGUGUGUGUGUGUGUGUGUUUACAUGAAAGAUUAUUUAAUGACAGUGCUUUUGGAAUUAUAUGUCUCUAAACACCACAAUAGUCCUACAAUACAGUUUGUUUUGGGUGGAAGGUGGGGGAUUUGGUACAGAAAGGCUUACUUAAAUAACAGUUGGGAAAGAAAGUUCCUUUGUGUUUAUGUGGUUUGCACUAUAAGUUUGGUUUAGGGGCAGGGUGAACAGAAAGAUAAAUGGUUCUUAGCUACAAAACAUACUCAAUUGAUCAAAAUUGAUUAAAGAACAAACCUACAUUUUUAGGUGAUCUUUCAAAAUGAGUUCUCUGUUCUGAAUUACCCAUUAACUACUGGGGAUUCAAACUCACUCCCUUAUUAUAAAAAUGCAUAUUCAUGCUGGGCACGGUGGUACAUGACUGUAAUCCUAGUGGCUCGGAAGGUUGAGGUAGGAGGAUUGCAAGCUCAAAGCCAGCCUCAGCAACUUAGCGAGGCCCCAAGCAACUUAGCAAGACCCUAAAUAAAAUAUAAAAAAGAACUGGGGAUGUGGCUCAGUGGCUAAGUACCCCUGGAUUCAAUCCCUUGAAUGAAUGAAUAAAUAAAUAAAUAUUUAUAAAAUGUUUAUGGUUGUGGUGUUCUAGUUACAAAUAGCUUCUACUUUUCUAAUAUAGAAUUUCACUUUUGGGAAACUUUAAUUAUGCUUCAAGAAUUAAGUUUACUAAAUCAAUAAAUAAAAUAUGUGAAUUUAUCUUGUCCUCCAAGUGAAGCUGGACUUAUGGGUUGUAUACGAUUCUUUUAUGUUUGGACAUAAGUAAUAGAGGUGUAAGGAAGAAGUCUUUGGUAUGAAUAUAUACUUACUGUGUCCCAGUAAAUCUGGCUUCCUUUGGGGACAAAAUAAGGUCUCAUUAAAAAAAACUUAUUUAUUGGAAUAGAAUGGCAUAUGUAACUCACAGAUCAUGAGUGUACAACAUGUAAAAUUUUGAACCUCUCAUGUAACUAGAAACAGAAGUGUCCCUUGUGCCUCUCCCAGUCAUUACCCCCACCAAGGGUGUGUUAUCUUGUUACUGUAACAGAAUACAUGAGAUAAUAAACUUAUAAAGAGAAAAGGAUUAUUUUUGCUUAGAGUUUUGGAGAUUUCAGUCUGUGGUUGCGUAGACCCAUUGCUUCUGGGCCUGUGAUGAGGCAGUACGUCAUGUGGUAGAGCAAACUACUCACCUCAUGGCAACCAGGAAGCAAAGAGAGGGACAGGAGGGGGGUCUCAGUAUCUUCUUCAAGGACAUGUCCCCAAUGAUCUAACUUCCUCUCAAUAGGUCCCACCUCCUAAAGGUUCCACCAUCUCCCAAUAGUGCCACAUACUGGGGACCAAGCUUUUAACACAUGAGCUUUUGGAGCUCUUUUAGAACCAGACUACAGCAAAGUAGUUUGAGACUUUUCACACUUUAGUUCGUGCCUAUUUUUGUACUUUAUGUAAACCUACAUUUUUAUUAUAAUCAAAUCUCUGAGGUUCAUCCCUGUUUGUGUAGCUGUCAUUAGUUUAUUCUCAUUGUCAGAUUAUAGUUCACUGUAUGAUGUGCUAAGAUUUAUAUAUGCC
rnacentral:lncRNA from 1 species